rnacentral:misc_RNA from 1 species
AUUUUCACUGUAUGUAAAAAAAAUCACGAAGUUGAAAUAUAAUUAGAUAAUUUACAAAAAUAUAUAUUAUAUAAGUAAUAAUAAAAAGAUGUAUUUUUAAUUUAAUACUGCAGUAUACAUGUAUAUUAAGCAGUGUUGGUGUUUUUCAACAAAAAUGCAUUCUAUAUAUAUAUUUAAAUUUAAACAAACUGGGGAAAACAGUAUAAGUCCUCAGAAUAGCGAAUUCUGAUGAAACAACGUUCCAGGUGUAGCUAUGUGGCUAUCAUCAUUUUCCCCACCGCUGAAAGUUGUACAAUCAAGGGUUCUAAAAUCAUGCAGUUUUUCUUUUCUUUUGCUCACCUGAGCCGAAUGCUCGAGCUAGCUUUUCUGAUUAAAAGUCCGUUGUCUGUCGUUGGCGUCGUCGUAAACUUUUCACAUUUUCAUCCUCUUCUCCAAAUGCACAGGAUCAGUUUUAAAAAAGCUUGGCACAAAGCAUUAUUGGGUGAAGGGGAUACAAUUUCAAAUGAUGAGCCAUGCCCUUUCGAAAGGGGAUAAUAAUUUUAAAUUAUUUAAAAUUUGUUGGUAAUUUUCAAAAAUCUUUUUCUCUAAAACCGUUUGGCCAGAAAAGCUUAAACUUGUUUUGAAGCGUUCUUAGGUAGUGUAGAGUUCAAAUUUGUUCAAAUUAUUAUUCCCGAGGGUAGAGUGAGGCCACAGUGUGGGGGAUUUUUACAUAGGAAUAUAUAGAGAAAAAUCUUUAAAAAUCGUUUUUUUUCUUUUCAAAAUCCAUUCAGCCAGAAAAGCUGUAACUUAGGUGGAAGCAUCCUCAGGUAGUUUAGAUUGAAGUUUGUUCAAAACUUCUUCCCCAGGGGUAGGGUAAGUUCACCAGCGGGGGUCAAACUUAUACAUAGGAAUAUGUAGAGAAUUUUUUAAAAAAAUCUUUCUAUACGUUACACCGUUGAACCCUUUCUUUCUCUUCAUACUACACCAUUAGAAAUCAGUCUAAUGCAGAGAGACCCCCCCCCCAAAAAAAAAAAUGAUAAUUUACUAGUUGUACAUUUUCUCUGCCCUAAGGAGUCUGAUUUAAGGUGAUAUAACACAUCAUCACAAAAUGGCUGAUCGAAACGACAUUUUGUUUUAUUAAAAGGAUUUUAUUGACGGCAAUCUGUAACUUAGUCAAGUGGAUAAAGUGUCGGGCUUCCGAUCUGUACAUCCCGCUCUCGAAUCCCACAGGGGUUUUCGUUGUUACUUAAUUACUGCGUUGAAUUUAUUAUAAUAUUCAUUUUUAUUCCCAAACUGCAAAUUUUUCGCUUAUUUGACAUAUGUACAGUUUAUUAUCAUUAUAUCUUUCUUAAUAAAAUAAUUUACUGUU